rnacentral:rRNA from 1 species
CCCUUAGACGUUCUGGGCCGCACGCGCGCUACACUGACGAAGGCAACGAGCUUUCCUUUACCGAAAGGUACGGGUAAUCUUUUGAAACUUCGUCGUGCUGGGGAUGGAUCCUUGCAAUUUUUGAUCUUAAACGAGGAAUGCCUAGUAAGCGCAAGUCAUCAACUUGCGUUGAUUACGUCCCUGCCCUUUGUACACACCGCCCGUCGCUACUACCGAUUGAAUGGUUUAGUGAGGCCUUCGGAUCCGCGACUCGUUUGUGGAGAAGUUGGACAAACUCAGUCAUUUAGAGGAAGUAAAAGUCGUAACA